GGAUGAUGUGGAUUAAUUCGAUGCAACGCGAAAAACCUUACCUACCCUUGACAUGUACGGAAUCCUGCUGAGAGGUGGGAGUGCUCGAAAGAGAACCGUAACACAGGUGCUGCAUGGCUGUCGUCAGCUCGUGUCGUGAGAUGUUGGGUUAAGUCCCGCAACGAGCGCAACCCUUGUCCUUAGUUGCUACGCAAGAGCACUCUAAGGAGACUGCCGGUGACAAACCGGAGGAAGGUGGGGAUGACGUCAAGUCCUCAUGGCCCUUAUGGGUAGGGCUUCACACGUCAUACAAUGGUCGGUACAGAGGGCUGCCAAACCGUAAGGUGGAUCUAACCCCAGAAAACCGAUCGUAGUCCGGAUCGCAGUCUGCAACUCGACUGCGUUAAGCUGGAAUCGCUACUAAUCGCGGAUCAGCAUGUCGCGGUGAAUACGUUCCCGGGUCUUGUAC
rnacentral:rRNA from 1 species